UACGGAGGGUGCAAGCGUUGUUCGGAAUCAUUGGGCGUAAAGCGCGUGUAGGCGGCUUGGCAAGUCAGUUGUGAAAGCCCGGGGCCCAACCCCGGAAUUGCAUCUGAAACUGCCUGGCUAGAGUCCCGGAGAGGAAGGCAGAAUUCCCGGUGUAGGGGUGAAAUCCGUAGAUAUCGGGAGGAACACCAAUGGCGAAGGCAGCUCGCUGGGACGGUACUGACGCUGAGACGCGAAAGCGUGGGGAGCGAACAGG
rnacentral:rRNA from 1 species